UUUUUUUUUUUUUUUUGCUUUUUAGGGCUGCACUUGCAGCAUAUGGAAGUUCCCAGGGUAGGGGUCACAUCGGAGCUACAGCUGCCAGCCACAGCAACGCACGAUCCGAGCCGAGUCUGCAACCUACACCACAGCUCACGGCAACCCCAGAUCCUUAACCCACUGAGCGAGGCCAGGGAUCGAACCCACAACCUCAUGGUUCCUAGUCGGAUUCGUUUCCACUGUGACAUGAUGGGAACUCCAGUAUCUUUCUUAAAGGGAGCCACACCAUAACAUAAAUGUUGGCCUCCAAGAGUGACCUGACAGGGGAGGGCUCCUUUCUUUGGAAUAGGUGUCACUGUCCCCAGAUGACAGCCUUUGAGCAGGUCCACUCCCAGAGCUGCACCCUAGUCAAGGCUUACAUUUGGAAAAAAAAUCGUAAAUGUUUUCCUAAACAGUGGAAAAGAGGACAGAGUUUCCAUUUUCAACUUUGUUCCCUUUAAUCAAAGCUGCAAACACGAGUCACGAUUUGUGGGGAGAAAUCUCAUUUGUGUCUUUGGGCCCUGGCUUUGGGAUUCAGAAUUUAGGUUCUUAAGAUUUAUGACUGACUGAUGCUAUGAAAUCAGUUGUUUCUGCCUGCAAAUCAUGAAAUCAGUACCGACUUGGCCAUAAAAAAUGAAGGUUUUAUGGUAAGUGGUUUAAGAAAAAUGCAGAAUAUGAGUCCUUUGCGAUGUAUAUGUUUUAUAGCAGCAAUUCCCUAUUUUUAAUUUUUUUGAAAAAAAAUUCUCCAUUGCUGUGGAAGGAAAACAUCUUGAAGUAACUUCAAUGAAAACAGCUAUGUAUAUAGAAUAACAUGUAAUGGUUCUGUCAGACUUAUUCUCCCACUAACUGAGGCAUAAAUCUAGGAUGAUGAUUUUUUUCCCCUGCAGAAUUAGAUUUUAUUAAAAUAGUUACUUUGUAUCCCAUCCAGCCAUGAGUCAAAGCAAUGGGAUCCUACAUAAAUGAAAUUUGUUGAUCCUAGUGCAAGUUUGGACAAAAUCAAUUUCAAUUUCCUUUGAAUAUACUCUUAAUGUUUAUCUGAUGGCGGAUUCCUGUUGUUUUUAAAUAAUAGCUAUAACAGAAACAAACAACGCUAAUUAGAUUCUAAGACUCAUCCUUGAUCUCAAUUCAGGAAAUGUGUCAUUAACCUUUUCCUGUAUAAUUAAUUUUUUCUAUCAUGCUUUUUAAUUGAUCAUUCCCAAUAUAAGUCCUUCGAAAAGUUGAAUAAUUUUUUAUCAGGUAAGUGUUGAGAUAUUCCACCUUUAUGAUGGCUUUCAGUGGCUUCAGCUAAUGGGACUGUGUAUUUCGUGGAAAAUGCCUAGAUUGCAGGGUUUAAGCCAAACAGCUCCUUGGGGUAAUUAUAGUUGUUCUUUCUUGAUGGGUCUGUGAUUUUACCCUAGGUCCAAUUAGAAGAGUAAAAAUCUGUGACUUAGUGACAAAGAGAUAAGGACAUGGUUAGAAUAGAACUCCCUUGAGGAGGCCAUACCCUAUGAUGGGUGGAUCCUGAGAUUAUUUCCUGGAGGUUCAAAGUCACACAGCAGCCCUGAAGCUUGGGGUGCUAAUUGUUCAGAUGUAUUUGUUAGUGUCCGGCAGUGCAUUGGUGCAGUGCAUAGGUGCCUUGCAGUGUCACUGACAAUUUACGGCCCUCUGCUUAUAAUUUUGUAUAGCCUGCCAGACCCACUCCCUGGGGGAUACUGUUACAUAGGCUCUGAUUAGACUGGUCCUCCUGGAAUGAAGCAGUGUGUCCCCUGCCCAGCUGUAUCUCUCUCCACCCUGCUUUCUCCCUUGGACUUGAAUUUGGAGGCUGAAUAGCUAGGAAAGGCUUGACAAGUGGUCCUGAGUGACUGAAUUCCCCCAAGACGCUUCAUGACACUGGUGACCAAAGUGACCCAACACUCAGAUGAGGGACUGAAAUAUUUGAUAUAAGCAUGGCUCCUUCUUUCUACAUCCUACCUCAUUCCCCUCCUCUAGAUGUCUCACUUCCCGAAUCAUCUCCAGGUUGAAGUACAUCUGUCCCCUUGCUCUGCCCUAAGCACCAUUCCACUUCACCUUUAUUUCAUUUUAAAUAUCUACCCCAAAAACUUUCUGCUAAUAGAAGUGUGUGUGUGUGUGUGUGUGUGUGUGUGUGUGUGUGUGUGUGUGUGUGUUUUCGUGAAGGCUAAACUUGGGUUAAGAACAGCUUCAGGAGAUGUCAUAUAACAACCUUUCACAGGGGUACCUGGGCACAGAUCUUGUCAGAGGUCACUCCCUUUUGAGGAUUACAUGGGACAUUUGAAGACAGGGGUCAUCCACCCCAUGCUCCUUUUCAUGAUCCCUGUAUUAUUCAUUAUUCCCUAGUCAGUAUAAGUUGGUUUAAUUUCACAACUUUGGAUGAGCUAUCAUAGGCUUGUGUUUUUAAGAAGGGACAUUUUAGGCACUAUUUAUCAAAAUAGUAAGUACUACUGCUUUUUGCAUCUUAUCAGGUCAGAUGCUGAAUGAUGCAUUUUUAAUAUAUCUUCUGACUUAUUUUUUUUUUCCAUUCAGGACUAUCAGAGGGAUACUAUCAUCUUCGUUUUAUUUUUUAAAUUUUUAAAUUAUAGUUGAUUUACAAUGUUCUGUCAAUUUCUGUACAGCAAAGUGACCCAGUUUUAUAUAUACAUAUAUAUAUAUAUAUUCUUUUUCUCACAUUAUCCUCCAUCAUGUUCCAUCAUGAGUGAUUAGAUAUAGUUCUCUGUGCUAUAGAGCAGGAUCUCAUUACUUAUCCACUCCAAACACCAUAGUUUGUAUCUACUAACCCCAAACUCCCAGUCCAUCUCACUCCCUCCCCCUCCCCCUUGACAACCACAAGUCUAUUCUCCAAGUCCAUGAGUUUGUUUCUUUGCUAUAGGUAAGUUCAUUUCUGCCAUAUAUUAGAUUCCAGAUAUAAGUGAUACCAUAUGGUAUUUAUCUUUUCUCUUUCUGACUUACUUCACUUAGUAUAAAAUGAAAAUACUAGAAGUUUCUCUAAGCUUGGUCUGCCUCCAGAGUUUAUGAGCUUUUGUCUCAUGUUGCAAAUUCCCCCUCCCCUGAAGUGACAAACCCAGGCAUUGACUCAUGCUUUUAGAUAAUUACCCUUCUUGGUAGAAGCACAGACAGGAGCUGAUUCUUGACUUUGCUGAUGGCUCUUUCUGCACACGGAUGUGAGCCCAAGUUCUGCCUUUGGUGCUGAUUAUCCACAGACGUUGCCUGGAUGCUCAUCUCCUAAAUGGGGCAGCCUCUCUUGCUUUCAGCUCUGCCAUAGUGGUUCUGCCUCACCGGACUGCAGAUGUGGACAGGAUUGAUUGAUGAAGAAAUAGAAUGAAGAUGACAUUUGUGUCUUGUCCAGGCAACCCGGGAAAAACUUGGGUGUUUGGCAAUUUACUGAUGUAUAAAGACAAAAAAUCCCAAAGAUAACAGCAUCUAUUCCAGGUAGGACCCCAGUGGAGAAGAACUGCCUGCUUUAUUAAAUCAUUAAAUAAUUGCAAUGCCUGGACACUGGGACCCUUGAAAAGCUUUGAGGAAGGGAAGCUUCCCAGGGAACUUUUUUUUCCAAAAUCCGCUCUUUGAUAUGUAAUUGGUACUUAAGCGGUUGGUGCACAGAACAUCAUGCAUUUGAGUUGCAGGUGGGCCAAGGUGCUUCUCUGUCCCUCGAGAUGAAAGGCCAGUAUUUCCAUGAAUGCACGAGGUCAGGACCAGUCUUUAGUAAGAUUGUGUCAUUUGUAGGGUUGGCCAUCAUGUACCCGGGUCUCGGUCCAGUGGGCCUGACCCCUCCCCUUGUCCUUUUCAUUUGUGUUUGAGGUGUUGUCUCAUUUUUAAUGUCACAAGAAACAGAUUCCCAAGCCUGUUAGGGAGGACUCAUGACAAGGGAUUGAGGGUCACUGUCAGAGUCAUUGUUCACUCACAUCAGUGACCAUGAGAAGAAAGGGACAUAUGAGCAAUAGAGGGGAGGUAAAGCUGGUCAUAGCAGCAGUGUUAAGGGCUAUAUUGCUGACAUUAUGUCACUGUUUAGUGUUUCUGUACUGCUUGGUCACUUGUGUUUGGGUUAGUCCUGAAUAUAGUACUUUAUCCUUCCUCCUGUUCUUUCUCAUUAUGCAACAGCGAAUUCAGGCUCCUAAAUUUCAUUAGGUCAUUUGUACCUUGUGUGCCCAUUUUAAAUGCAGACUGGUCCAGCCCUGUUUUCUGAGAGUAGAUGUGCAUUAGUUAUUCUAUGCUAAAGGAAUUCUGCACAUGUAAUUGAUGGGAAAGGAUUAUUUUUUUUAUUCUUAUUUAUUAUUAUUAUUAUUAUUUUUUUUUUUUGUCUUUUUAGGGCUGCAUCUGCAGCAUAUGUAGGUUCCCAGGCCAGGGGCCCAAUCAUAGCUACAGCUUCUGGCCUACGCCACAGCGACAGCAACAAGGGAUCUGAGCCACAUCUGUGAGCUACACCACACUCAUAGCAAUGCCGGAUCCCUAUCCCACUGAUUGAAGCCAGGGAUCAAACCCGCAACCUCAUGGUUCCUAGUCAGAUUCGUUUCCGCUGCACCACGACGGGAACUUCAGGGGAAAGGAUUAUUUAAAAAAAAAAGAAAAAACAGCUCCCUCCUUUCUUAAACAAAUGGAUUUUUCUGUAUCUCAGUUAUAAGAGGAAUCAGAUGGAUGAGGAUAUGCAAUGGGCAUAGUGAAUGUUUUCUCAUCCAUUUUCAUACCCUCAUGCCCCUGGAUGAUCUAGGAAUCCAGGUUUAAGCCCAUCGGUUGGUGGCGUUCAUCAAUUUCUGAUCAUGAGGAGCAAUUAAUGAAUGAAUUCUAAUUUGGAAAAGCAGAGAAGGGAGUUUUCUGGGGCUACAAUUAAAUUGUACUCUCACAGGAGAGAGUCACAAGAAAAGACUUUUUCUCUUUUCCUGGACGUGGUUGUGGUUACCAGGCUUGGAAUCACUGUAGAGGCUAUUUUGAUAUUUGUCUGGAGACAAAGCUCACAUGUGGAGACAGCAGAGAAUUUCUGGGACACGGAACUGGAGCCCCCUAGAUAGAGUUGGUUCCCAAAGCCUGACUCAACCUUUGUACAUCCAACUCUAUGAGCCAAUAAAAAUUCUUAUUUUUUCUGCCAAGUUGAAUUGGACUUUUUCUUACUUUCAACCAACUUCUCUGCUAACACAGUGUAGAAGCAGGCAUAGAAUCAGCAUGGCUGUGGUGUUGGCAUCUAUUCUGAGCGUCUAGCUGGUCCCCAGUGAUGCGGUAGUGUGACCUCUGUGACCUUCUGCAAUGGGGAAGCAUAUGUACCUAUGUGCCCUAUAUCAUCCUCCCGCUGACCAGGCCCAUUCCUCCUCCUUAGGGGAUCCAUCCUGCCGGCUGUUGGCUGUUCUGCUUACAUAAUAUGAAACUCCUUCCUUCUCCCUCUCUACCUCUCUCACCCAGUCCUGAUUGGCUUGGAAGUGAGUGGCUGACUCAGAAGUAAGCUGGGCUGAGCAAUCAGAUUUUCUGUCUUGUGAACCUGAUGUGGAAAUUGUUUGUUGUCACAGAGUACUUUUAACUGGAAGGUUGGAUGGAUUGCAAAUGUGGAGUGGCUAUUUUUGUGCCAAGGGCUUAACAAAGCAAAGAAAGCUGGUUGGCAGAAGCAGAAUUGGCAAGAAACAGACGUGGAGAAAAGUGUCCCAGGAAGACAGAUCCUUUACUGCCUGGUUCAGGUCUUCCAUGAGACCUGGCUCCAACUUCCUGCCUUCAAGGUCAAAUCUUCCUCUUUCCUUUGUAGCUCUGAAGGGCUUCUGUUUCCUGUGACCAGAGAAACUUGGCUGAGACAAAAAGGGGCGGUUUUCACCUCAAUUUACAGAUGAUACAACUGAAGAUGAGAAAGGUUAACCGAAGCUGAUUUGUAGCAAGCUGGGAGUCAGCCUAGAUUUCCUAACUUUAUAACCUUUAUUUUUCACAUUUCUCUUGCUGGUUAAGUGAUGAAGAGAGACAGAGUCAUCUACUUUACUCCUAAAACAUCCUGAGAGCAUUGCCCAUCAUCUCUCAGAGAAAAGAGAGUCAGCGUUCAGCCGCUUUGUAAUAUCCUUGACAAAAAUUGAAUGGAUUGCAAACUGCCAGACUGAAAACUCCAUAGUAAACUGGGUUCAAUCACUUUAAGUCUGUUUACUUAAAUACUGAUACACAAGUGUAGCUUCUUUAAAUUCUUGAAGAAUAGCAGCUUUGGCAGUGGUACUACAGUUAUUAAUUAUCUUUAAAUAAAUAUCUGUUGCUGUGUAUGCUGGGGCACUCCUGUAUAGAGUUGCCCAUGCAAGAAGCAACCCACUCCAGGUAGCAGCUGACCCUGGGAGUGUCUGCAGCUGUGAAUUUUAAUCUGAAACUCACGAGAAACCAGAACUUAUUUUCUCCAGUCAUGGAAUUUUAAUACUUCUGACCUGUCUCUUCUGGCGAAGAAAUAUCCCAUCUCACCUCAAUGAAGCUGCUCUGGAGAAUAGCUGCUGUUGAUUUCUGCAGUGACCACCCCGCAUUGGUCCCUCAAAUUAAUUUUAGCAUAUGACACAUAGCCUCCAAAUUUAAUGAAAAUCCACUCAGCCAUUAUCUGCGAUACGACAAACAGACUGAAACUUAAUUAUAUUGACAUGGAUUGGAGCUAAUGCUGUCAUAUUUUGCUAGAAAAGCCAUCUCUUUAGGAGCGAUUACAAUUAGAUGUUCGAUUUGGAAAGUGCAACUGUGGAGAAAUGUCUGUGCAGACAAAUGGCAUCUGUACCUUUGGGACAGCCAUCUGGCCAGGGAUUGAAUGUCGUCCUCAUUCAUCCACCUAAUCACAACCUGACUUUGGUCGAAUGGCCUUGAGAAGUGUUGGAUUGUAUGUUAGAACAAGAAAAGACUUCCAAUAAUAUUUAGCGUUAUUCUUGUAGGACCUCUAGCCCUUUUGGUCUUUGAAAGUGAUAAAGAAAACUUUGGUUUCAUGGUACCACCUCCUUUAAUAAGUGGAUUUGUACAACCUUCCUCUGUGUGCAUGCCCAAGUAAAGAAUAUUAAAGGUCUGAUGGUGGAGUUCCCAUUGUGGCGCAGUGGUUAACGAAUCUGACUAAGAACCAUGAGGUUGCGGGUUUGAUCCCUGGCCUUGUUUGGUGGGUUAAGGAUCCCGCAUGGCUGUGAGCUGUAGUGUAGGUCCCAGAUGUUGCUUGGAUCCAGCAUUGCUGUGGUUGUGACAUAGGCCAGCGGCUACAGCUCUGACUCAACCCCUAGCCUGAGAGCCUCCAUAUGCCACGAGUGGGACCCUAGAAAGACAAAAAGACAAAAAAAAAAAAAAAA
rnacentral:lncRNA from 1 species